ACUGCAUCCUGGUGACAUCACAGACACGUGUGGAGGCACACAGAGAUCAGACAUGGUUUAACUCAAGUGGGAGAAACACACAUUCCCAGACUUUCUCUCACCUGAAGCCUGUUUGAAGUGCCUCACACACAUGUCCAUUGUGGCUAUGCUUCCACUGAGAGUUGUUGUGCCUGAAGAAGACAAGACAUCAGUAUCUUCAGUGCCUGACAUUAGUACUUGAAGCUUUUCUCCUGAACAGCUGAUCAGGAACUAAAACAACGUGUUAAGAUCUUAACCCUUAUCCCAGGUGAUCAAUGUGUGGCGUCACAGGUGCUUUGUUUGCAAAGAAACAAAAAGGGAAGCUUGAAUAUUUUUGACUUAAAGGAGAUAAUGACCUGCCACAUAAGCAUGAAGGCCCUGGAUCUCAAUGACCUGCUGACCCAGAGGGUGGCGCCCAGGGGGAAGACCCAUUGCCGUGAUGGCAUCAGUCACCAACACCAGACCUGAACAACAAACGCAUGUCAUUUCUCUUCAUUUAACUGUUUGACUUUUAUUGUCACUUUACUGCCAACUGGUGUGCUGCCAUGCUGUUUCAUUGUACCUGAGGGGUGUGCUCUGUGGGCGAUGCGCAGGGCGGCCGGGUUGGUGUGGAUGCCGUCAGCAAUCAUGCCGUAGAACACUUUCCUGUCAUGAGGGAUCUGGUCACUAGUCAGCAGGCCCACUAUGCCUGGAUCUCUGUGGUGGAACUGCAACCCAUCAUUACACAGGAAGUAUGUUGGUUAACUUUGACUAGUUUCAGUUUUUAGAUCAUGUCAAGCAAUUUAACAUCUGUACAAUUGUUCAAAUGGAGAACUUCAGUGAAUAAAUCGAUUGUAAUUGUU